GAGGGAAAAGAAGUCACGCCUCAGAGUCUCAAGCCCUCAUGUGAUGGAAAGCGAGCCAGAGCAACGAAACCGUGAGCAUUGUUGAUGCCACGCAAAAGCCGUCCUACUGGGAGGGGAACGGCCGCCACUCUCAGUGAGAUAAGUGUCUGGUUUGGUGAUUGCUGUGUUAACAGCCCACCUUGCUCCUGCUAGGGAUGCCACAUGAGCUGGGGCUGGGUUUGUAAGAAAAUGUUCUUGACUAGCUGUGGUUAUGAGGGGAGCAAGGUCCUCAUUUUCAGGGUCUGCUCAUUUCUCUGGUCAGGAACGGUGUCUCCUCUGCAGCAGAAGGUUGCAUCCAGGAGGAUGACUCCACGUGGUGAGUGCUUGCUUUCCUCCGAUGUUUCCUUCUCUCUCUCUCUCUCUCUCUUCUCUAGUACGUUGGCCAACACACAACCUCUAGCUCUGUCUGUCCUUGCCUUUCCUCGUGUUGUCUCCCUUCAUAAGACACGGGCAGGCGUGCUACGUGUGCAUCCCCACAGGCUUUGUCUCGGGAGCCAUGGAGAAGUAGGAGGGGACAAAAAUCAUGCAGGGGAGUGGGUGCGAAAGUGGAGCGGUGACUGUCGGUGUGAACUCGGUCUCUGUUCAUCGAGUGGGGCUGAUGUAGAUGGGACUGGAGAGGGAGGCAGGGAUGAGGGCAAGACUCGACGCACCAAUAGAGCUCUGUGUAGUGAUAGCUCUUGCUUGACUUUUAGUUUGCAGAGGAAUCAUCCAGGAGCUCUAGCCAGACAAGAAUAUGGCAGAAGUGGACCUGAGCAGCCUGGACAUCCUUCUAAGGAGACAUGAAUAGUCCUCAUGUUUCUGCCUUCUGCAUCACUGGCUGUGAGUAAGAGGUCAGUGCUUUUGAAUUCCUCAUCUGUACUCACUGUAGUUUUCUUCACAGGCCGUGUGCUUCCUCGUUGGGUAUGAGGCUCUGGGAUUAAGGCUGGGGAAGGGACAAGAAUCUCCUGAGGAAAGUUUAGUACCAAGGAAAACGAAGUCACGCGUCAGAGUCUGCUGCUCUCAUGCGAUGGAAAGCGAGCAAGAGCAUUGAGACUCUGAGCAUUGUUGAUGCCACACAAAAGCUGUCCAUCUGGGAGCUGAGGAGACGCCGCUAUCAGUGAAAUAAGUGUCUGGUUUGGUGAGGGCUCUGUUUACGCCCAACCUGAGUCCAGGAUGGGAAGCCCACUAAGUUAGGGCUGGGUUUGUAUGAAAAGGUUCCUGACUAACUGUGGUUACGAGGGGGAAAAGGUCCCUAUUUUCAGAGGUUGCUCAUUUCUCUGGUCAGGAACAGUAUCUCCUCCGCAGCGGAAAGUUGGAUUCAGGAGGAUGACUCCAGGUGGUCAGUUGCUUACCUUCCUGCCAUUUUUUUUCCUUCUCUCUCUCUCUUCUCUAGUGUGUUGGCCAACUUUCUCACUCUCUUUUCUCUCUGUUCCUCGUACCGUCUCCUUUCGUAGGAGACGGGUAGGCUUGCUAGGUGUGCAUCCCCGCAGGCCAGGUUUCGGGAGCCAUGGAAAAGUAGGAGGGGAUGAAAAUCAUGCAGGGCUGUGUCUGUUGGUGUUUACUCGGUCUCUGUUCAUCGAGCGGGGCUGAUGUAGAUGGGACUGGAGAGGGAGGCAGGGCUGAGAGCAAGAUUUCCAGCACCAAUAGAGCUCUGUGUAGUGAUAGUUUUUGCUUGGCUUUAUUAGUUUGCAGAGGAAUCGUCCAGGAGCCCUAGCCGCACAAGAAUAUGGUGGAAGUGGACCUGCGCAGCCUGGACAUCCUUCUAAGGAGACAUAAAUAGUCCUCAUGUUUCUGCCUUCUGCAUUGCUGGCUAUGAGUAAGAGGUUUAGUACCAAGGAAAACGAAGUCACGCUUCAGAGUCUACUGCACUCAUGCGAUGGAAAGCGAGCAAGAGCAUUGAGACUCUGAGCAUUGUUGAUGCCCACAAAAGCCGUCCAUCUGGGAGCUGAGGAGAUGCUGCUAUCAGUGAGAUAAGUAUCUGGUUUGGUGAGGGCUCUGUUUACGCCCAACCUGAGUCCAGGAUGGGAAGCCCACUAAGUUAGGGCUGGGUUUGUAUGAAAAGGUUCCUGACUAACUGGUUACGAGGGGGAAAAGGUCCCUAUUUUCAGAGGUUGCUCAUUUCUCUGGUCAGGAACAGUGUCUCCUCCGCAGCGGAAGGUUGGAUUCAGGGGGAUGACUCCAGGUGGUCAGUUGCUUACCUUCCUGCCAUUUUUUUUCCGUUCUCUCUCUCUCUCUUCUCUUGUGUGUUGGCCAACUUUCUCACUCUUUCCUCUCAUGUCCUUGUGCCAUCUCCCUUCGUACGACAUGGGCAUGCGUGCUAGCUGUGCAUCCCCACAGGCCAGGUCUUGGGAGCCAUGGAGAAGUAGGAGGGGACGAAAACCAUGCAGGGUUGUCUGUUGGUGUUAACUCGGUCUCUGUUCAUCGAGUGGGGCUGAUGUAGAUGGGAUUGGAGAGGGAGGCCAGGAUGAGGGCAAGAUUUGAAGCAACAAAUAGAGCUUUAAGUAGUGAUGGCUCAUGCUUGGCUUUUGCAGAUGCGCUUCCAGAGGAAUUUUCCAAGAGCCCUAUCCUGAGGAGAAAGUGGCAGAAGUGAACAUGAGCAGACUGGACAUCCUUGUAAGCAGACAUGAACAGUCCUCCGCUUUCUGACUCCCGCAUUACUGGCUGACCGAGGGAAAAGAAGUCACGCCUCAGAGUCUCAAGCCCUCAUGUGAUGGAAAGCGAGCCAGAGCAACGAAACCGUGAGCAUUGUUGAUGCCACGCAAAAGCCGUCCUACUGGGAGGGGAACGGCUGCCACUCGCAGUGAGAUAAGUGUCUGGUUUGGUGAUUGCUGUGUUAACAGCCCACCUUGCUCCUGCUAGGGAUGCCACAUGAGCUGGGGCUGGGUUUGUAAGAAAAUGUUCUUGACUAGCUGUGGUUAUGAGGGGAGCAAGGUCCUCAUUUUCAGGGUCUGCUCAUUUCUCUGGUCAGGAGUGGUGUCUGCUAUGCAGCAGAAGGUUGCAUCUAGGAGGAUGACUCCAGGUGGUGAGUUGCUUGCCUUCCUCCCAUGUCUUUCUAUCUGUCUGUCUCUCUCUCUUCUCUAAUGUGUUGGCCAACUUUCUCACUGACUCUCCUCUCCUCUCCUCUCCUCUCCUCUCCUCUCCUCUCCUUGUGCCGUCUCCCUUCGUAGGACACGGACAGGCAUGCUAGGUGUGCAUCCUAGCCACGUCUCUGGAGCCAUGAAGAAGUAGGAGCAGACGAAAACCAUGUGGGGCAGUGAGCGCUAAAGUGGAGCUGUGACUGUCUGUGUUUACUCGGUCUCUGUUCAUCCAGUGGGGCUGAUGUAGAUGGGACUGGAGAGGGAGGCAGGGAUGAGGGCAAGAUUUCCAGCACCAAUAGAGCUCUGUGUAGUGAUAGUUCUUGCUUGACUUUAUUAGUUUGCAGAGGAAUCAUCCAGGAGCUCUAGCCAGACAAGAAUAUGGCAGAAGUGGACCUGAGCAGCCUGGACAUCCUUCUAAGGAGACAUGAAUAGUCCUCAUGUUUCUGCCUUCUGCAUCGCUGGCUCUGAGUAAGAGGUCAGUGCUUUUGAAUUCCUCAUCUGUACUCACUGUAGUUUUCUUCACAGGCCGUGUGCUUCCUCGUUGGGUAUGAGGCUCUGGGAUUAAGGCUGGGGAAGGGACAAGAAUCUCCUGAGGAAAGUGAGUAUUUUGAGUGCCGUUACAAUGGGUACCUUCUAGUUGCAGUUGUAACAUAGUAAUGGGAGAUGGGUUGAGGAUGGAGAUGUGGGAUAAGGGAGAUGUGAAAUGAAGGAGACUACGCGACAUUGCAGAUGAAGAUGCUAAUUUUUUUUGGUUCCUGCCUCCCGCUGGGUUUAGUACCAAGGAAAACGAAGUCACGCGUCAGAGUCUGCUGCUCUCAUGCGAUGGAAAGCGAGCAAGAGCAUUGAGACUCUGAGCAUUGUUGAUGCCACACAAAAGCUGUCCAUCUGGGAGCUGAGGAGACGCCGCUAUCAGUGAAAUAAGUGUCUGGUUUGGUGAGGGCUCUGUUUACGCCCAACCUGAGUCCAGGAUGGGAAGCCCACUAAGUUAGGGCUGGGUUUGUAUGAAAAGGUUCCUGACUAACUGUGGUUACGAGGGGGAAAAGGUCCCUAUUUUCAGAGGUUGCUCAUUUCUCUGGUCAGGAACAGUAUCUCCUCCGCAGCGGAAAGUUGGAUUCAGGACGAUGACUCCAGGUGGUCAGUUGCUUACCUUCCUGCCAUUUUUUUUCCUUCUCUCUCUCUCUUCUCUAGUGUGUUGGCCAACUUUCUCACUCUCUUUUCUCUCUGUUCCUCGUGCCGUCUCCCUUCGUAGGAGACGGGUAGGCUUGCUAGGUGUGCAUCCCCGCAGGCCAGGUUUCGGGAGCCAUGGAAAAGUAGGAGGGGAUGAAAAUCAUGCAGGGCUGUGUCUGUUGGUGUUAACUCGGUCUCUGUUCAUCGAGCGGGGCUGAUAUAGAUGGGAUUGGAGAGGGAGGCCAGGAUGAGGGCAAGUUUUGAAGCGACAUAUAGAGCUUUAAGUAGUGAUGGCUCAUGCUUGGCUUUUGCAGCUGCACUUCCAGAGGAAUUUUCCAAGAGCCCCAGCCCGAGGAGAAAGUGGCAGAAUUGGACAUGAGCAGACUGGACAUCCUUGUCAGCCGACAUGAACUGUCCUCAGCUUUCUGACUGCCGCAUAACUGGCUGCGAGUAAGCGGUUUAGUAUCGAGGGAAAAGAAAUCAAACGUCAGAGUUUACUCCGCUCAUUGGAUGGAAAGCGAGCGAGAGCCGUGAGCCCACGAGCAUUGUUGAUGCAAGUCAGGAGCCGUCCAGUUGGCAGUGGAGCAGUCGCUACUGUCAGUGAGAUAAGUGUGUGGUUUGGUGAGGGCUCUGCGUAGGGCCUUCCUGGCUCUAGGUAGGGAUGCCCCAUUAGCUGGGGCUGGGUUUGUAAGAAAUGGUUCCUGACCAGCUGUGGUUAUGAGAGAGACAAGGUCCCCAUUUUCAGGGACUGCUCAUUUCUCUGGCCAGGAGCGGUGUGUCCUCGGCAGCGGAAUGUUGCAUCCAGGAGGAUGACUCCAGAUGGUGAGUGGCUUGCCUUCCUCCCAUGUCUUUUUAUCUGUCUGUCUCUCUCUCUCUUCUCUAGUACGUUGGCCAACACACACCCUCUAUCUCUCUGUGUCUGUCCUUGCCUUUCCUUGUUCUGCCUCCCUUCGUAGGACACAGGCAGGUGUGCUAGGUGUGCAUCCCCAGAGGCCAGGUCUCGGGAGCCAUGGAGAAGUUGGAGCGGACGAAAAGCAUGCGUGGCAGUGGGCGCUAAAGUGGAGCUGUGACUGUCUGUGUUUACUCGGUCUCUGUUCAUCGAGUGGGGCUCAUGUAGAUGGGACUGGAGACGGAGGCAGGGAUGAGGGCACAAUUCAACGCACCAAUAUAGCUCUGUGUAGUGAGAGUUCUUGCUUGGCUUUAUUAGUUUGCAGAGGAAUCGUCCAGGAGCCGUAGCCGGACAAGAAUAUGGCAGAAGUGGACCUGAGCAGCCUGGACAUGCUUCUAAGGAGACGUGAAUAGUUGUCAUGUUUCUGCCUUUUGGAUCGCUGGCUGUGAGUCAGAGGUUUAGUACCAAGGAAAACGAAGUCAAGCAUCAGUCUACUGUCCUCAUGCGAUGGAAAGCGAGCCAGAGCAUCGAGACUCUGAGCAUUGUUGAUCCCACGCAAAAGCUGUCCCAUCUGGGAGCCUAGCAGAUGCUGCUGAUAGUGAGAUAAGUGUCUGGUUUGGUGAGGGCUCUGCUCAGACUCCACCUGAGUCCAGGUUGGGAAGCCUAGUACAGUAGGGCUGGGUUUGUAUGAAAAGGUUCCUGACUAACUGUGGUUACGAGGGAGAAAAGGUCCCUAUUUUCAGAGGUUGCUCAUUUCUCUGGUCAGGAACUGUCUCUCCUCUGCAGCAGAAGGUUACCUCCAGGAGAAUAACUCCAGGUGCUUCCUUUCCUCCCAUUUUCUUCUCUCUCUCUCUCUCUCUUCUCUAGUAUGUUGGCCAACACACUCUCUCUCCUCUCCUCUCCUCUCCUCUCCUCUCCUCUCCUCUCCUCUCCUCUCCUCUCCUCAUUCCCGUUUGUAGAACACUGGUUGGUGUGCAUCCCCACAGGCCAGGUCUCGGGAUCCAUGGAGAAGUAGGAGUGGAAGAAAAUCAUGCAGGGUUGUGGGCGCUAAAGUCGAGCUGUGACUGUCGGUGAUAACUCGGUCUCUGUCCAUCGAAUGGGGCCGAGGUAGAUGGGAUUGGAGAGGGAGGCCAGGAUGAGGGCAAGAUUUGAAGCACCAGUAGAGCUUUGUGUAGUGAUGGCUCAUGUUUGGCUUUUGCAGCUGCGCUUCCAGGGGAAUUUUCCAGGAGCCCCAGCCCGAGGAGAAAGUGGCAGAAGUGGACAUGAGUGGACAGACUGGACAGCCUUGUAAGCAGACAUGAACUGUCCUCCGUUUUCUGACUUCCGCAUAACUGGCUUACCGAGGGAAAAGAAAUCAAACGUCAGAGAUUACUCCCCUCGUCGGAUGGAAAGCGAGUGAGAGCGGUGAGCCUGCCAGCAUUGUUGAUGCAAGUCAGGAAUCGACCAUUUGGCAGUGGAGCUGUCGCUACUGUCAGUGAGAUAAGUGUCUGGUUUGGUGAGGGCUCCAGGUAGGGACGCCCCGUUAGCUGGGGCUGGGUUUGUAAGAAAUUGUUCCUGACCAGCUGAGCUUACGAGAGACAAGGCCCCCAUUUUCAGGGUCUGCUCAUUUCUCUGGCCAGGAGCGGUGUCUUCUACGCAGCGGAAGGUUGCAUCUAGGAGGAUGACUCCAGAUGGUGAGUUGCUUGCCUUCCUCCCAUUUUCUCUCUCUCUCUCUCUCUCUCUCUCUUCUCUGGUGUGUUGGCCAACUUUCUCACUCUCCUCUCCUCUCCUCGUGCCAUCUCUCUUCGUAGGACACGGGCAGGCGUGCUACGUGUGAAUCCCCACAGGCUAUGUCUCGGGAGCCAUGGAGAAGUAGGAGGGGAUGAAAAUCAUGCAGGGCUGUGAUUGUCGAUGUUAACUCGGUCUCUGUCCAUCGAGUGGGGCCAACGUAGAUGGCAUUGGAGAGGGAGACUAGGAUGAGGCCAAGCUCUGAAGCACCAAUAGAGCUUUGUGCAGUGAUGGCUCAUGUUUGGCUUUUGCAGCUGCGCUUUUCCAGGAGCCCGAUCUUGAGGAGAAAGUGACAGAAGUGGACAGACUGGACAUCCUUGUAAGCCGACAUGAACAGUCCUCAGCUUUCUGACUCCCGCAUAACUGGCUGUGAGUAAGCGGUCAGUGCUUUGAAUUCCUCGUCUGUGCUCGCUAUAGUAUUCUUCACAGGCCGUGUGCUUCCUCGUUGGGUACGGGACUCUGUGAGAUUACGGCUGGGUUGGGGCCAGAGUCUGCUGUGCAGAAUGAUUAUUUCGGGUGCUGUUGCAAG